CCCAUAGAAACACCCUGUGCCCUUUCCUGAAGAUGCUGAUACUUCUCCCACGGUGCUGCUGCCUCCGGGGCCAGGAGAUUCCUGAUUCUGCGUUCCCAUCUCAGUCCUGAUGGUCGGAUCCUUGGAAGUACCAACAUUUUCUUCCCAGGAACAAGCUAUCAGCACAAGCACUGCAAUUGCAAGGGAUGGCCUUGGUGAUACCAGCCUGCCCCAGGAGCCCUGAUUUAGCCGGGAGUGUUGUGAACCCCACCCAGCCUGUGAUCACUUCAACAAGAUGCUCAGGAAAAACCAGCUGUUGCCUUCCCCGAUUGCCUCCUUCACAUGAGUCUCCAGGCUCAGCAGUGGUGCCGCCUGUCACCCUGAUGGCUUUGGUGACCCAGUGACAACCAGGGGAAGGGGGCAGAGAGCUGGGGCUGGGCCCACCUCUCCAAGCUGCCACAGCCCUGGUGAGGGGCUCCCACUGGGAACAGCCUCCUCUGUCCCUGGGGUCCCUCCAGGCUCCCAAUUGGAAAGGUCACCUCUCUUUGUGGGGUGAUGGCUUCGCCCUCUACCAAAUCAAGAUGUUUCAGGUCCUUCAGGGUAUGUGCUCAACAAGGGAAUAAGCAAAUAGUGGAGAUGGGGAGAGAAGGCAGCCGUUGGGACUGUGAGAGCUCCAGCUUUGGGCGGGCAGGCCUGUGCCAGGACCCCACCCCAGGCUCUGGGCUGCUGCUCACUACACAUAGGAAGCUGGAAGAGACAUGGGAUCCUUUUUCAGAAUGAAUGGAGGCAUUUAUAGGCGGACAAGAGGAUAGGGAACCAAUAAACUCUAAAUCCUACUUUUUGUAGCCUUUGCCCUGAAGUAGCUAACUGGGAAAACCAGCAGCAGGAAGCUGGGUACCUCACCUUGGGAAGCCAGAUGUUACGGGAGUGCUGGGUGGCGAUGGCACAGAGCACACACGGACGUCUGCUGGUGUGGGCAGCGUUGAGCACAUGGAUGCACCGUGAUGGCUUGUCUGGAUCCCCAGGUGAGCGAAUGGUUGUUGGUUCCCAUUGUGUCUUGCCUGCGUGCUGGAGUGGAGGUUCCCAGUGCUUUUAGGAGGGUGGGUGAUUGUACGUGGGCAUGGAUCCUGAGGGAGGAGGAGAGCAUCUCCCCAGAGACCCAGCACACGCUGGGCAGAGCCAGGCCCUGGGCUCCCUGCUUUUCCUGCCUGUGUCUGACCCAGCUGCUUCUGGGUCUGCUCAUUCCUGCCACAUGGAGCCAGUCAGGAUUGGAAACACAGAACCAGAGAAGGGACAACCACUUAAUCAAGGGACUUCUCUCCCUCUGCCUGUGGGGCAGUCCUGGGCUGGGGUUUAGAUUUGCAGGGAAUGGAGCGCUUUAAAGGCUCCUGUUUAUCUCAUUUUCUCCCAGUGAGAUACUAUUGAUUUGCUCUGUGCAGGGACAUAGGCUGAUUAAACUGUGAGCGUUUAUUGACAGGCCCUGAGGGCCACUGCUGCAGGGUCACUGCUGCUCUGCUUCCACUUCCCUCUGAUAAUGGCUCAUAUCAGG